rnacentral:rRNA from 1 species
GACAGAGGGUGCAAACGUUGUUCGGAAUUACUGGGCGUAAAGCGCGUGUAGGCGGCUAAGUAAGUCGGGCGUGAAAUCCCACGGCUCAACCGUGGAAGUGCACUCGAAACUGCAUAGCUAGAGUCCUGGAGAGGAAGGUGGAAUGCUUGGUGUAGAGGUGAAAUUCGUAGAUAUCAAGCGGAACACCGGUGGCGAAGGCCGGCCUUCUGGACAGUGACGUGACGCUGAGACGCGAAAGCGUGGGAGCAAACAGGG